CGCACCUUGCGCUCCUCGGUAUUCCUUGGAGCAUGCCUGUUUGAGUAUCAUGAAACCAUCGAAGCGAGUCUUUCGUUAGCUCGAUAGGCUCCGCUUCGGACUUGGAGGUCCUGCGGAUUCACCUCCGCUCCUCUUAAACUCAUUAGCUGGAUCUCGGUAGACCUGGUUCCACUCGGCGUGAUAAGCAUCGCUCGCCGAGGACACCCGUAAAAAAGGUGGCCAGGCUUGAGGAUGAGCCGCUUCCAACGGUCUAUUAGGUUAGACGAAUAUCUUAUGAUCUGAUCUCAAAUCAGGUAGGACUACCCGCUGAACUUAA
rnacentral:misc_RNA from 1 species